rnacentral:rRNA from 1 species
GAUGAACGCUGGCGGCGUGCCUAAUACAUGCAAGUCGAGCGAACAGACGAGGAGCUUGCUCCUUUGACGUUAGCGGCGGACGGGUGAGUAACACGUGGGUAACCUACCUAUAAGACUGGGAUAACUUCGGGAAACCGGAGCUAAUACCGGAUAAUAUUUCGAACCGCAUGGUUCGAUAGUGAAAGAUGGCUUUGCUAUCACUUAUAGAUGGACCUGCGCCGUAUUAGCUAGUUGGUAAGGUAACGGCUUACCAAGGCAACGAUACGUAGCCGACCUGAGAGGGCGAUCGGCCACACUGGAACUGAGACACGGUCCAGACUCCUACGGGAGGCAGCAGUAGGGAAUCUUCCGCAAUGGGCGAAAGCCUGACGGAGCAACGCCGCGUGAGUGAUGAAGGUCUUCGGAUCGUAAAACUCUGUUAUUAGGGAAGAACAAACGUGUAAGUAACUGUGCACGUCUUGACGGUACCUAAUCAGAAAGCCACGGCUAACUACGUG